UAUGGUUCGGUGACCACGCACACUGGCGGAUCCGUCCCAUUCAGCGCACAUGCAAAGCGGAUGGCUGCGUCUCUUGGACGUGAACCGAGUCCAAUGGAGCUGUUUCUAGAGACGCAUGUGCGGAGUCAAGACCGCCAAAAGGGGGUGCAGCAGUUCGUGGACAACCGUGCUCAGCACUUCGUGGAGACCUAUAAUAGCCGGUUGAGGGAGAGAUAUGGGGACAAUCCGUCGACCC